CUCUAUAGUAGAGAUGAUAUGGUAGUGUUAACUGUUUAGAAUAUAAUGAUGCUUAAAACCCAAAGGGUUGCAAGGUAGUGACUAAUCCCAUCUAAAGUUGUGUUACCUCUAAAACAUAAAUUACGAGUUGGUCAUAGAUGGAUGCUUUGGAUCGUUAGAUCCGGAUCUAAUACCUUCUUGUUAAAAUUGUAUAGAGGCGAAAUGUUCAAAUCUUUAUUCUUUUGGAAACAAGAAAGAAUCAAAAAGUUGUUGAGGUUAAUUCACUUAGAUGUUGGUGGCACUUGUCCACAACAUAAAUACUACUCAUGUUAUAUGACAUUCACCGAAGAUCACUCUCGGUUGGACUAUAGUUUAUUUUGAAUAAACACAAGUCCGAAUACUUUGCAAAAGGUUUCAAAGAAUUCAAGAAAUGUAAGUUGAUGAGUAAGACGUCUAAAGUAUUUGCCUCCUUAGAUUUGAUCCAAGGAAAGAUAACACUUUAGAAUAGUUUCCUUGAAAAAUGAUCAAGGAAAGAAGCAUCAUAAGAUAAUGGAUUUCUCCAUUAGGAGAAGAACGAACUUGAAUAAAAUUUAGUUCGUUGGAUGUUAUCUAUUACCCAUAUAUAGGAUAUAUACUUCUAAAAACAAUAUGAUUGUCAAUUAGAAGAUCUUCCAA
rnacentral:lncRNA from 1 species